rnacentral:rRNA from 1 species
UACGAAGGGUGCAAGCGUUACUCGGAAUCACUGGGCGUAAAGCGUGCGUAGGCGGUUGGUUAAGUCUGCUGUGAAAGCCCUGGGCUCAACCUGGGAACUGCAGUGGAUACUGGCCAGCUCGAGUGUGAUAGAGGAUGGUGGAAUUCCCGGUGUAGCGGUGAAAUGCGUAGAGAUCGGGAGGAACACCAGUGGCGAAGGCGGCCAUCUGGAUCAACACUGACGCUGAGGCACGAAAGCGUGGGGAGCAAACAGG